rnacentral:lncRNA from 1 species
CGUGCUCAUGCAGCCAUGCUACCUGCCUGCUUGAGCACUCACUCGGAGUUCCGAUUGUGAACGUCACAGAUCAAGUAUCUUGCUUGCAAAAGUGUGAACUUUGCUAUUUUCGGACGUUUAAAUAAGUGCAAAAGAAAAUAUAAAUGGACACUAACCUAAACACAGAACCAGGAGAAGAGCCUGGAAUAAAUUCAGUUAUGGAAAUGGAUUACCAAAACAAAGUUCUUAAAAAAGUGAACGCCGGCGAUUUUACAGAAGACCCAAACCCAAAACGACCACGGAAGAACAAUCCAUCUCAAAUGAUCAACCAGUACAACGGGGCAACAAAAUAAAAAAGUAGAACAAAAUCAUGUUAUACUUAUACAACUAAAAGGAGAAUCAUUUACUUCAGACGUUAAUAAUCCGAUCAAAGUAACGGAAGCAAUAAACAAAAAAUAUUUCCAAAAGUACAUUAAAGAAGAUACACUUGGAAUUCUUGGAAAAGGAAAAACAAUCCGUUUUGAAGUAGAUGACAUAUCCAAAAUAGAGCAACAAGAUAAAAUAGAACAACUGGGAGACUGGAAAAUAACAUGGCGAGGAUGUUGGUUAUCGAGGUAUUUUGCACAAGGUAUGUUGCACCAAGUGCCCUGAAUAAGGUCCAGGGGAGACAAAGCCCCCCCCCUUGGCUAGAGCUUAAUUCAAAACUAGGCUGUUUCAAUUGCAGCAAUUGUAGUGAAUAUAAUCAUAAUUACAAAGAUAAUACAAAUUCCCCAUACUGUUUUUCUUGUCAUGAGGCAUACUCACCUAAAGAUAAUUCCUACAAAUUGCAUAAGAAAGCACUGGAAGUCAGUAUAAGCAACAUAACACCAAAUAAUAUAGAAAUAAAAUUAUAACUACAACAAUUGAAACCCAACACAAAACAAGAACAGAUAAUAACUGAUAAUAAGGGAACAACAAAGAAAACACCCAUUCAAACACAAAACAUGAAUACACAAUAAUCAUAAACAAACACAAAUGAGGCAUCAAUAAACUUAGAAACAAUGCAAACAUAUGCAAAGUCUUAACAUAAACAAAUAGAAUAACACCAGGACAGUAAACACCAGAAAAAAUAAAACAAACUCAAAACUCAAGCAAAUCAAAUUCACCAAGUUUCAUAGAAAACAUAACACAAGAUAAGCAGAGGAAACAAAUCAAAGAACAAAGAAAUAACAAAGAUCAAAAUACUAAUCUAAAUUAUGCAGAAAGUUCACCAAUAAUGUGGACAUACCAACACCAACAAAACAAACAUAAAAGAAUGAGGAAUCAAAACAGCAAACCCCCAAAUGGUUAAUUUUGACAAAAAGUAUUACCAAAGCCAUCAUGAAAUUGGUAAACAAUUUAAACUCAGAAAACUCAAUCUUAGAAAUCAUUACUGAAAUAGUAAAAGAUUUUCCAGUAAUUUUAAAACUAACUAAUGAAUUAGAUUAUAAUGUGGAAUCCAUGAUCAUUCCAAAAUAAGAUAAGUGACCUAAAUUACAUAAUAAGUAAAGAAAACCCAGAAUUCGCAUUAUGUAAAUCUAGGUUAAAAAACAAGGAUGAAUUUAAAGUAAACAAUUGUGUUAUAAUAAGGAAAGAGAAAAACAAAUGGGAGGGGGAUUAGUUUUGGAAUGAAACCUAAUAUGCAAUUUCAAAAGAUAGAUUUAAGAGAUACAUACAUAAAUAAAAAAAAAGUAUUAGGUACUAAAAUAGAAUAUAAAAACUGAUGGCUUAACAUAUUAUUUUACAUCCCUUGCAAUAGCAUAAAUAAAGAAGAUAUUCAACACUAUAUAGAUCAAGUAGAACAACCAAAAAUGCUAAUAGGAAGUUUUAAUGCACAUAACCCUAGUUGGAAUCCAAAAAAUGCAUUUAAGUAAUAAAACGGAAAAGCAUAUAUGAAGUUAUAAAUGAUGAGUUAAUGAUGACAUCACCAGGUUGGAUAACUAAAACAGAUCCAAUAAGGAAAUUACAUUAGACUUGAUAAUAGGCUCACCAACAAUAAACCAAAUAGAAAUCAAAUGGAGCGACCAUUUCACUGUAAUCAUAGAAGAUAUAAAUUAUCAAAACCAACAUACUCUUAUAGAAGAAAUGACAGUUUAGUGAAUGAAUGGUCUGAAUAUCAAGAAUAAUUUUAAAAUGUGGAUACAGAUAAGAUAAAUACAUUUGUAUGAUCUAAUAGACCUACUUAAAAAAAACUGGUCAAAAAAAAAAAAUAAU